rnacentral:lncRNA from 1 species
GCGAGGGUGGUGCUCUGUGCCUCUGCCUCUCCUGAGACGUCCUUGCCUUCCUCUUGGCGUUGGCUGGUCUCCGAGCUCCCGGGACAGCGUCCAGGAGGCGUGGCCGCUGCCUGAGGACCAGUCCUCGAUGUGCCCUCUGACGCUGGCACGAGCGUGUUCUGGACCCGUGCCGUGCCCCCAGGCAGCUGGGGAGUUGUCUGCCUUGUAGUGCGGCGGGCCACCAGGAGAAUCUGACCCAGUGUCCUGGAUGGGCCAGUUCCCAGUCGUGCGCUCGUGGCCCAGACCAGACCCGGGCUGGUGUGUGGAGCCAGCCACGCGGGCCCGUCUGUCCUGCGUGCCCUGAGUGGGCGCAGAUGAGAGAGGGCGCGGUUGCUCCGUCCGCUUUUCUCCCCUCUCGCCCCCAUGCGGGGAGCCGUGCAGCGGGGCCUGGCUGGACUGAGCCCGUGCCGGACACGGUGCUCCGUUGCCGUCCUGGAGGGCCCAGAGGAUUGCUCGAGACGCCGAGCCCGGCACCCGGGAACCUGUUCCGGA